GAACCAACCACAAAUUUGGAUGGACCAAAUUCUGAAAGUCUGGCUGCUGCUAUCCUAAGGAUCAUGGAGGAUAGGAAAGGCCAGGAAAAUUUUCAGCUAAUUGUUAUUACUCAUGAUGAGCGUUUUGCUCAACUGAUUGGUCAGCGCCAGCAUGCGGAGAGAUAUUAUCGAGUCGCAAAAGAUGACCAUCAGCACAGUAUAAUCGAAUCCCAGGAGAUAUUUGACUGAAGGGUGGAUUUUAUUUAGUUACAACUUUGAAGUGGCUUGUUGGAGGAUUGACAGAUCAAGUUGUUGAUGAGAUAUAGGAUACUGAUAAUGAUAUGUUCCUAUUAAUUAAAAGAUUGACAAUUGUUGUAGACUAUCAUUUGUACACUAGUUUUUGUAAGCAUGUUUAUAUAUUUUGGCAUUUCAUCCUUUGUGGCCAAUUGAAGUUUUAAAAUCAGACCGGUGUAAAAAACAACAGUUCCUUUUCACCGAUGGCAUUGUGAAUAAUGAUAGGGUUUGUUGCCUGGAUUACCGCAAUCAUUGUGAAAAUGAAUCCAUUAAUUAAUGAAUUAAAUCAAAA